AUGGUGGGCAUGGGUCGAGAGCGCUCUGAGGCUCCUUCCUCGGCGCGUGGUGGUAGGGGUAGUUCCAUUCCACCCCAGACCCUCCGGAGAGCGCUAGAUCUCAGUAUGCAGACACCACCGGCGGUCGCUUCUUCUUUGGCCGGGAGAGGUCGGCGGGGGGAGAAGAAGGAGAAUGCUAGUAGAGGUGGACGUGGCAGCGGGAGAGGUAGGAAGGCUGCCACUAUGCCUUCCUCGCUGUCACCCUCAGCUGAUUCACCUGACCACAGGACUGCUCCGUCUGAGAUGGAGUCGCCUGAGGUGGACCCGUCUCGGACCCCGGUCCAUGAGCCUCGGGCCGACGAGCCUCGGGCCGACGAGCCUUCGCCCCACGAAACUCCGGUCCCAGAGGCUCCGUCCCACGAGACUCUGGAUCAGGCUACGUCACAGCCGAACCGAUUGGGGGACUGGCCAGAGUCGAGUGGCCAUGCUGAUGGUGACGAGGGUGGCUAUAGUUCUGAUAGCUAUAGUGAGAGUGAGCUGGUUGAGGGGGGCAAUGUCUACCAGCAUGGUGGUACAAAGCUCCCGCCCACCCCGGCGACCCCUGACCAGGGGUGGUUGAUUACGCCUGAUGGGGAGAAGUCUUGGGAACACGGUCGUGGUGUCCGCAGGCCCAACACAGUCCUUGGUGUGAUUUGUCGCCAGAGCUUCCCGGGAUGGGUCACGUUGCCCGGUGAGGGCCAGGUUCCAGAGCUAGGAAUGACCUGGGAGCACUACUUGGCUGCCCCGGCCCCGCCGGGGGAGAGGAUCGGCGGUGUCGAGUGCCACACGGUGGCCGACGUUGUGAUCCAGACGUUUUGGACCUUUUACAGGUGUGCUGAGGGACAGGAGGAGGCCGCGACUCGGGUUAUCGAAGCCGAGUGCAGGCGGCUACUUCAAAACUGGCGGAACGGGGCUCGGACGCAGGCUACUCGAGACUACUUCGCCUCGAUUGGUAUUAGGAUGUCCAAGUCGAAGUGCCGCACAAAGUAUCUGAGUAAGGAGAAGUACAUGAAGGUGCCCCCGAGAUGGUGUGCGGAUAGGCUGGAUUGUUGGGAGGCGUUGGUGGAUGAGUGGUGCUCUCCCCAAUGGCUAUCCACCCACAACAAUGCAAAGGAUCGGCGUGGCAAAAUGAGCGGUGUGCCACACCAUCAAGGCAGCGUCAACCUAUAUCAGUACGGGGAUAACUAG
rnacentral:rRNA from 1 species